AUUAAAAUGUAUUUGUGCCUUUGCAUUAGCAUGACUUUCUGCUUUAUUAAAAGAAAAAAUACAACUGCAAACUUUAUUGAUAGAUUUUGCUUAUAUCUAUAACACUAGAAUGAUACUCUAAUUUACAUUCAGUGGACAAACUCAAUUCCAACUACUUUACCUUGCAUACAAAAUCUAAAUAUAGCAGCUGAUACUGUGUAACUUAUUUCCACUCAUGACAAAAUAAUUCUUUUGAUGCCUACACAAAAGAUACUUAAUUUGUUCUGUAUUGUUGUUCUAGACAAUAAAUACGUUCUAGAUUUUGUUGAAAUUGAGUUUUACCAGUUGUAAGACACAGAAAACAUGACUUUUUAAGGCAGAGUAAAUUAUUAUGGUGUCACUUGGGUCUACAUUAUUCUUGUUACAUAUUCAAUUUGGGAUCAUAAAUCGUCUUUUAUUGUUGAUGGUAAGAUAAUCACUGAUGAAAAUAUCUGAAACUAAAGAGACGGAAAGAAUAAUCUCCAUUUCUUAAUUUAAGGAAUAUUGGAAUAGCAUAUUACAAUUACUUGUUCAAUUUGCAAGUGUCUUUUUCAUAGAGAAUAAUGUAGAUGCUCUAUUUCAACCCCUCAUGGAGGUCUUUUUCAUAAUCAUAUCCAGAGUGCUUAUUCAAGAAACUUUAUGAGUAGGUGAAGAUAUUUUUUUAAAUAAGAUUGUUUGCAUUAUUUAUCUUUAGAAAGAAAAGUUUUGCAUCUUUUUGUUAAUCCUUUGAACCAUUCUUACAUCCUCUCUCAAAUUGCAAUUGCAAAUGGAUAUAUUAACAUGUGCUAAAAUUAGACUGUGGAAGAUCACAGAAAUGAAGUACUUCCAUCAGAAAAUGAAAUCUUUCGAGAAAGUAUUCUGCUCGUGGGCUUAAUAAUGCUCUGAGAUAAAACAAUUAUAUACGUAAAUGAGACAGUUAUACAAAGGCCUAGACAUAGUAGUUGCUGAACAAAUAAAAUUUACUUCCAGGUCCCUCCUCUCCUUUUUUGAAAUUUCCAUUUACCCAUGGAGAUGCAGCUAUUUCACAACAUUAUACAAGAAUGCUAAUAGAUUAAUUAUUUCCCCUUAUAUGAAAGUCAAAUUAUAUAUAAUACUUAAUAUUUAUUUAAUAACAUACUUAAUAUUCUUAUAAAAAUAGUUCAUUAUUCACUAUAGGAUUUUAUCAAUAACUUAAAUACAUUAGUAGGUACCACCUCUUUAAUUCUUUUUUAUAAUUUUCAGGAUUUUGGCCAUAUGAUGUAUAAUUAUUAAUAUAAAAAUUGCCCAUAUAAGUGAAAUAUUGCCACUUCUUUUUAUUUCUUUUUUCCUGAAAUGAAAGCAUAUAUCUUUUAGCAUCUAAUUUUAGCCUUCCUUGGAAAAGAAUAAGCGAAACAAUGACGGGUGGAAAAUUUCACAUCACAAGCAGGCAUAGGGGAAUAGAGGAACAGGGAACUGAAAGAAUCGAGAAAGGCAAGGUGAGCUACAUUUUGUUUAGGUAAGAAGGACCUCAGUGUGCGAUGUGCUGGACCACGGAUUGGGUCCAUCCCUAAGAUGAAAAUUAAGGCCAAUUACACUGAUGCAAAGGAGAGAGCUUAGUGAAAUCCAGAGAAGAAAGUUAACAAAUAGAACCUAGGAUUCAAUUUUGCAACUAGGAUUUCUUAGAGAACAACGUGCGUUAUAUACAAUAAAUGAUUCUGUUAAGAGCAAAUAUAUUUGUUCCAAUUCUUAAAGGAAUGUUCAUGGUUUAGCACUUGCCUCUAAACUCUACUAGGAAUAUGUGAACUUAGAAAUAAAAGUUAAAAAACCUUUUUUGUUGGUAUGUGAAUUCUAUGCUGUGUUCAGUAUGCAUUAAAACAUACUAUCUUUUAUUUUCUUGAACUUAUAUAUUCCAUGCAAUUUCUAUAUUUUUAAGCUAGCUAUCUCAGUUUUCUUAUUGUUUCAAUAUAGUAUGUCCCUAUGAAAUGCUGUAUAUAUAUGUCUAAACUGUAAAAAUUAUUCUGCAAAUGUUGAAGUUUUGUAUUUAUGAGAGACAUUGAAAGUAUGGCUUACAGUAUAUCAAAAUUGUCACUCUUCACCAUUUGUAUAUUAAUAGUAAAGAGACUUUUACUUUAAUAAAGUGUUGCAUUUUCUGUUUAUUUUGAAUAAGAUCUCUGCGAUGAGUGAGCCUAUGACUUGAGAAAUACUUUCAGUUUUUAAAAUUUCCUGAACAAAUCUCUAUAUAUUUAAAAGAAAAGAAGGCUUUCUGCCAUCUUGCCUCAUCCUGAGUCACAAUCUUUUGGCUUCUACAUGGUGCCCAAUAAGUUUACUGAAUUUACAGUUUAUAUUUACGUUAGAGUGUAAUUAAUAAACAGUUGGUAAGAGCAGUGGUUCUCAAAAUAUGGCCCCCAGACCAGUAGCAUCAGAGCCACCUGGGAACUUAGAAAUGUAAAUUUCUGGACUCCACCACAGACCUACUAAAUCAGAAGUAUCUGAAAGAGGGGCCCAGGAGUCUGUGUUUUAACAAGCCUUUCUAGUAAUUCUGGUGAAUACAGAAAUUUGAGAUCCACUGGGUUGGAGACACAUUUUGAGUGACAAGC
rnacentral:lncRNA from 1 species